AAGAAAAUAGAUUUACGUUUAUGAUCGAACCUUUUCAAUCACAAGCAAGUCAACCCCUCCGGUUUCACUUUCCGUUCCCAAUUAUCAAAAUUUUCUUUCUUCUUCGCGGGGAACGGAUGCCAUUGAUUCUGUUGUUGAUCCUCUCAGAGCCUUCGCUAAGGACAGCCUUCGUCUUGUCAAAAGAUGCCACAAGCCUGAUCGCAAUGCCAUGUCGUUCCUACACCUUCUUCCUUCUUCUUUUUCUUUCAUUGAUUAAUACUUAGAUUAGGAACUGCAUUAUAUUCUCUAUUUUUUUUAACAUUUCUCAUAAACUUCGCAUACCACUGUGACACAGAAUUCACUAAAGUGGCAUUCCGUACAGCUAUCGGUUUCGUCGUGAUGGGAUUUGUUGGGUUCUUCGUCAACUUGAUCUUUAUUCCCAUUAACAAUAUAAUCGUCGGAUCUUGAAAGGGUUGAAGUUCCUGAUUGGAAGCAUUCUAGUUGAACACAUUUUCACUGAGUAAUGUCAAACAGUUGUCUUUGUCACUUCGGCAUUUUAUAAUUUUCCCCUCCUGAUUUAUAGUCUUUUGUCAAGCAAACUGCAAACCGCGUUUGAGUAUAUAUGAUUACAGUGUUCAUUUUCUUUUCCUUAUUUAAUAAAUUUUCUCAAUUAGUGUUCUUCCCUGAGGAUAAUGUUCUGCUGAUUAGAUUGCUUUACAAUUA